CCGGCGUGGCCACCCCCCAGUCUCGGCUACUCCGCAGGCCUCUCGGGAAACCCUCCUGCAAGCAGCACAACUUCUGCAGUGGGAGCAGCUCCGGCACCUGGCCAAAACAGGGCAGACGGGGAAGAUCAGCGAGUGCAUGCUGGCCCGGUACAGGAGCAGGGCAGAGGACUACGUGGGCCAGAGCCUACCGUUCCUGCAGGACCCCCAGGCAUCGUUGCGAGAGGCGGCCGUGAGGUUCAUCGGUGAGCCACAACAGCCGGGGUGGCCCUCUGAGGCGGGGCGGCCUCAGGUGCCUGCAGCCCUGCCUGUUUGGUGGUGGCCUGAGGCGCCAGGGGCUCCGGGUCUCCCUCUCCCACCCUUGCCCACGCGCACAGGCUGCUGGGAGCCCUGUUUGGUGGCACACACCCUGGUUGGGUGCUGCGCUGUGCUGCACGGGGGUCAGCCCUGCCCAGGGGGAGGAGGGCCCGUGGCCAGGCUGGCCGGGCAAGUGGGAGCUGUGCUGCUGAGAGCACGCGGAGGAGCGUGAGCAGGGACGGCUGUGUGGGCCUAGGGGCGGCCCCGCGGCCCAGGANNNNNNNNNNNNNNNNNNNNNNNNNNNNNNNNNNNNNNNNNNNNCGCAGCGUGGUGUCGGCUGGGCUGGUGGGGCUGGAGGAAGGUGCCCAAGCAGUGUGCUGCGCGCCCCUGUGCAGCACCCGGCGAGGAGGCCUCUAGGUCUCCGUGCAGAGGGGAGAGGGGGGAUCUUUCCAGGCCCUCAGGGCAGCCUUGAGCAGCAACUUCCAGCGGGCCCAUUGCUCCCGCAGCCUCCUCGUGGGCCUAGGAAAGGCUGAGGGGGCUGGCGCUGCCUGCAGAGUACGCCUGGGCUUUCUGCAGAUGUGGAGGUUUGAUGCCUGCUCUUUUGUGCGCCAGCCCUUCAGCCCCUCCAGAACGACAGCCAUCCCUGCGUCAGUGCCCUGGCAACACAGACCAUCCUGAUGCUGAGGCCUCCACAGGAAAACUCCCCGUCAGCAUUUAGCCUACGAGCCCUGCGCUCUCGGCUCCGCAGAAGCUGGGUGAUGUGGCACGUGCUUCUGGGCUGUUGCUCGGUUGGAGCAGAGCUAGAGCAGCAAUGCUGACGCUGGCGUGCUCUGCCCCCUGAGGCCCCACAGCUGAGCAUGCUGCACAGCCGGGCUCCUCCCUGCCUGCCUGCAGGGCAGCUGCCCUGCUCAGGCAUGCCCCGUCCCCAGUGGUGCUCUACAAGUUCACCCCUUGCUUGUGCUGUUCCCAAAGAAGCAGCCCUGUUUCUUCACCACGUUUGCCUUGUCUUUGCGGCGACAGAAGCAAAAGAGAAAACUCUGCCCCUAAAAGAGUCACGGUUGUCUUGCGAGUGGCACAAUGGCCACUCUUCCCAGCAGCC
rnacentral:lncRNA from 1 species